rnacentral:rRNA from 1 species
ACGGGAGGCAGCAGUGAGGAAUAUUGGUCAAUGGGCGCAAGCCUGAACCAGCCAAGUCGCGUGAAGGAAGACUGCCCUAUGGGUUGUAAACUUCUUUUGCAUGGGAAUAAAGUGAGCCACGUGUGGCUUUUUGUAUGUACCAUGCGAAUAAGCAUCGGCUAACUCCGUGCCAGCAGCCGCGGUAAUACGGAGGAUGCGAGCGUUAUCCGGAUUUAUUGGGUUUAAAGGGUGCGCAGGCGGCACGUUAAGUCAGCGGUGAAAUGCAGGGGCUCAACCCCGGCACUGCCGUUGAAACUGGCGAGCUCGAGUACGGAUGAAGUCGGCGGAAUGUGAUGUGUAGCGGUGAAAUGCUUAGAUAUGUCACAGAACACCGAUUGCGAAGGCAGCUGACUAAUCCGCAACUGACGCUCAGGCACGAAAGCGUGGGGAUCGAACAGGAUUAGAUACCCUGGUA